GACGAACGCUGGCGGCGUGCUUAACACUUGCAAGUCGAACGGAAAGGCCCUGCUUCUGUGGGUUGCUCGAGUGGCGAACGGGUGAGUAACACGUUAGUAACCUGUCCUUGACUUUGGGAUAACUUCAGGAAACUGGGGCAAAUACCUGAUAGGAGCUCCUGCUGCAUGGUGGGGGUUGGAAUUUUUCGGCGGCUGGGGAUGGGCUCGCGGCUUAUCAGCUUGUUGGUGGGGUAGUGGCUUACCAAGGCUUCGACGGAUAGCCGGCCUGAGAGGGUGACGGGGCACAAUGGGACUGAGAGACGGCCCAGACGCCAACAGUAGGCAACAGUGGGAAGUAUUGCACAAUGAGAGGGAGCCUGAGACAACGACGCCGGGUUCGUAAUGAAGGCCUUUGGGUUAAAAACCGCAUUCGCCUGAGACGAAGCGUGUCUGACGGUAAUGAAUGAAGAAGCACCGGCUAACUUCGUG
rnacentral:rRNA from 1 species